GAUGAACGCUGUCUACAGGCUUAACACAUGCAAGUCGAGGGGAAACGACGGGGAAGCUUGCUUCCCCGGGCGUCGACCGGCGCACGGGUGAGUAACGCGUAUCCAACCUGCCUCUGACUGAGGGAUAACCCGUCGAAAGUCGGCCUAAUACCUCAUGGCAUCGUCUGCGGGCAUCCAACGACGAUUAAAGAUUUCAUCGGUCAGGGAUGGGGAUGCGUCUGAUUAGCUUGUUGGCGGGGUAACGGCCCACCAAGGCUACGAUCAGUAGGGGUUCUGAGAGGAAGGUCCCCCACAUUGGAACUGCGACACGGUCCAAACUCCUACGGGAGGCAGCAGUGAGGAAUAUUGGUCAAUGGGCGGGAGCCUGAACCAGCCAAGUAGCGUGCAGGAUGACGGCCCUAUGGGUUGUAAACUGCUUUUAUGCGGGGAUAAAGUGAGGGACGUGUCCUUCAUUGCAGGUACCGCAUGAAUAAGGACCGGCUAAUUCCGUG
rnacentral:rRNA from 1 species